ensembl:lncRNA
CAGCUGGGUAAAUAGUCCUAGUGAUUAAUUUAUUAGUAGUUAAUUAGUUCAGUUAAUUAGUAACUAGCAAAGUAACAGCUGUUGCUCCUGCUUGUUGUGUAAGAGAAUUGUGACCUUUGGCCUUCUGUUGUGCUCCUAAUGGUGUAGUGUUAGGCAGCAAACUGAUGAUGCUGGAAGUCAGUAAUUGCCUAUUUUUUUUUAGAUAUAUGCUUAAACUGCUGUAUAUUAAUGAGGUACUACGUGUCAGCUGAAAUGUGAUAACUGAGGGUUCUUUCAGGCUGAGGCACAUGGAAGGCAAGGAAAGUUCAUUUCAUUUGUAACAAAAAUGAGCUAGUUAAGGAGAGAGGAUGCUGGUUUUGCUGGCUUGUGGCAAGAUAUUUUUCCUUGGUUAUUAGAUCUGAGCUCAUAUAAAGGUUUAGGCUCUGUCCCAGACUGAUCUGGGGGAGAAAAAAGGAAAUUUCCUGCCAACUAGAAGUUCUGAGAAGAUUUCAUUCUGGAAACAACAAACGUUGUAUUUCUGUGUUCCCUGGUUCCUGCAGCUUCUCAGUGAAAAUGGCAUUUGACAGCUUACCCAGCUUCUUUGGGUGCGUCCUGCAUGGCUGCUAGACCACAAUGGAAACUACCCACGCAGCUUCAAACAGCUAAUGAUGCGGCCUCGCACCCACCACACCCAGCGUCUGGAAGAUUCUGGCCCAUCUUGUGCAGUAACACUAUGCAGUGUUACAGCAUCUGGCUUUGGCAAGUCUGCAGGCAGAGGCUUUGAAACAAAAAACAAAACUAUGCAUCCUCACCACUGUUUCUUCCCUUAUUUACAUGAUUAAGUGCUGCAGUGUACACAUGUGGGCAAGAGUAGGAAGACUCAGGGAAGGGAGGUGGCAGAAUUACUAUCCCUGCAGGUGUUCAAGAAACAUGGAGAUAUGGUGCUGAAGGAUGUGGUUAGUGGGCAUGGUGGGAAUGGGUUCACAGUUGGACUAGAUGGUCUUAGUGGUCUUUCCCAACCUUUAUGAUUCUAUGGAUGCAUCUUAACAAUGGUUGCAAAGGAACUGUAGUGGGUCAGUACCUUACAGGAUCUGCUGCUUGAGCUGAUCCACAUCUUCUUCCACCACACCUAGAGUUUCACACAUAUUAGGCAGAGCUGGCGUUUGUGGUGUGAAAACUGUCUAAGAGGUGUCAGAUUUGGCCUUCAAAACUGAGAGAGCUUUAUCAGACACUUUUACAGGCAGAUUUGCAAAUGCAUCUAUCCCUAAAGCCUGCAUCUCCGUAUGUGUCACCACAGCAGCAACUUCUUUCCUUGUCACCUUUGUACACUGAUGAUACAUAUCUUCUGUGAUUGACGUGCAGGCACAGAAAAAAGUUUUCUUGCUAUCUUGCUUGUGUUGCUUCAAGUAUAGUUCUCAUGCUGAGAAACUGAACACCUUCUAUUUCUUUUACUGCUCCAGUGACUUGCACUUCACAGAUCUUGGUCUGUGGAUGUCUGGAGGUGGCCAAGAUAGCAAAUGCUUUCAGAAGAAAGAUGACAGAAGAAAGCAAGAAUUGUUUUUGGUCGUCUUUGGCAGGCUAGGUCAUUCCUCUGUUUCAAACACUUUUGCGGAAUGCCUUGCUCUGGGAGAAUACAUCUGAUCUUCCAUGGUGGAAGCAAUUUCCACAUGAAUGCACUGUGUUCCUCUUGUGCAAAUACCUGUGCCUGUGAACAGAUUUGAGCCCAUAAACACUGUUUUGGCUGUUUUGUUUGUCUUUGAAGAUGACUGCCAACCUUCGACUUCCACAGCAGGAAUCUUGCGUAAGACCACAUGUGAAAGAAAACCAUCCAUGUAACAUUUAAAAUCCAUUGUUUUGUUAGUUAAGAGGAAAUGCAGUUAGACCAGUUUUUUAUGGCUUUUUCACAGCUUUCAUGAUCUUGUGGGAGCAUGUAAUCAUACAGCAUUAAAAGGAAAUCCAAAUCUAGAUUCAUCUGUUAUCUUGUUAAGGGGAAAAUGCAUGUGAUGAGUGGAUUGGUAGGAUUAAGUCACUACAAGAAAUCAUAACCUUCUGUUGUGCUUGCAUAUAGCAACCUGAUAAUGUUAGUUGUCUCUACCAUAAGGGAGCAGAAUGCCUAUGUUUUAUAACAAAUUGAAACAUGAUGCUGUAGGCACACAGCAUAGUAAGAGAGUGUGUGUAAACACUUGCAUACGUGUUCAUAUAUAUACGUGUACGUUCUUCUGGUACAUGUAUAUUUCUUUCCAGAUGCAGUUGGAGUCCUGGCUGCUGUGAGAGUUAGAUGGCUUUCUUGUGCAAUGUGGGUGUUUAUCAUCCUGCUGUAACUGUUCAUGCUGUUAUGAGUUUCCACUUGGGAGCCAUUUUCAGGCACAUGUUCCUGUCAACCAAGGUCAGCGCUGAGCCAGAGAAGCAGAGCACAGGUGGUAUGUCAUAGUUAGCCUCUUUCUUUUGGCUUCAGACUGUGGCACUUCUCAAUUUAAUUUAUGAUUAAACCAUUGCCCUGAGAUAAUACAAAAAAUCUUAGUGUAUUUCUGCCUGGAUUUCAGAGAAAUGGUUCUUUAAAUAAACAAGGGAAAAAAUGAGUGAAUGCAUAAAAAGGGACUCAGACCUGACCAAAAUCCUGUGGAAAGACUCUUUGGAUUUCAGCAGGCUCUACUUGUCCUUAAUACACACUCUGUUGUGUCUAAUCCUAGGUGGGAGUAUCACAUUUUCAGGCUGUAAGUGGCUACUUGCCUCUCAUAAGGUGCAGUGCUGGUGGCAGUGGAGAAAGCCCAGGGUGAGGGGAGAGUUUGUGGCAAAGAGUGUUUUUUUUCUUUUUUUUCUUUUUUUUUCCUGCUUGGAUGGCAGCUGGAUUCUACACAAAAAAGCCCUAAGGGGAGAAAUACAUCAGGGUCAUUACAACUGUCAUUUGGCAGUUACGUAUUCUUGAAAUAAACUGUUAACACAAUUUUGCUGAUUCUUGCCAAACAGCAAGGGCAAGUUGGCUGUAUUUUUGGAGCUAGAAUGGGACUGCAAGCUUUAGAAAUCCUCUCUACAGUCAGCUGAUGAAAGAAUAUGGGAAACAGUGUCUGGAUGUUAACCUUCUUACCUGCAGAAAUCCAUGCUUGUGUAUGCAUACACAUACUGUGUUUUUGUCAAUUAUCAGUGCAGACUAUCGAAAGUUCCACCAGAUUUUUACUUGUCCUUGAAUGUUAUUAUUAAUAACCUAUUAAAAGGUAAUGCUUUAAGAUCAA